UACGUAGGUGGCAAGCGUUGUCCGGAUUUAUUGGGCGUAAAGAGCUCGUAGGCGGCUUGUCGCGUCGUCCGUGAAAACCCACAGCUCAACUGUGGGCUUGCGGUCGAUACGGGCAGGCUAGAGUUCGGUAGGGGAGACUGGAAUUCCUGGUGUAGCGGUGAAAUGCGCAGAUAUCAGGAGGAACACCGGUGGCGAAGGCGGGUCUCCGGGCCGAUACUGACGCUGAGGAGCGAAAGCGUGGGGAGCGAACAGG
rnacentral:rRNA from 1 species